AGAAUCAACGCUGGCGGCGUGCCUAACACAUGCAAGUCGCACGAGAAAGGGACUUCGGUCCUGAGUACAGUGGCGCACGGGUGAGUAACACGUGAAUCAUCUACCUUCGAGUGGGGAAUAACUGAGAGAAAUCUUGGCUAAUACCGCAUAAUACCUACGGGUCAAAGCAGCAAUGCGCUUGAAGAGGAGUUCGCGGCAGAUUAGUUAGUUGGCGGGGUAAUGGCCCACCAAGACGAUGAUCUGUA
rnacentral:rRNA from 1 species